ensembl:lncRNA GMDS-DT GMDS divergent transcript
GCCACCGCCUCAGGGAAGAGGAAGGAGGCCGCGGCUUCGCGUCCCGCCUCUCGCCUGGCUGGCCGUGGGGGGCCUGGACGCAGUGGCCUCCCGAAUCUCCCAGGACCCUAAUAUCGCCCGAGGAUGCUGGGAGGAACGCUGAGCCGACCUCUCCGUUAGGCUGAAGAUUGCACAAACCAUGCUAAUGGCCAGCAUGGAUGGAGGGAGCGUGUGAGAUGUGUGGGGCAGCGUGCUGCAUCUCAGCCAACUCCAGGAGCCAGUUGAUGUGAUGGACUACCUUAAUUGAUUUUUGAAUGUUGAGCCAGCCUUAUGCAUGUGGGAUAAACCCCUGUUGAUCAUGGCUGGCUGGAGUGCAGUGGUGCAAUCAUGGCUCACUGCAACCUCAAAUUCCUGGGCUCAAGGGAUCCUCCUGCCUCAGCCUCCCAAGUAGCUAGGACUACAGAUGGAACGAAGUCUGUUUGUGGAAACACCCUUCCCCUCUGUUUACUUGGACCUGAUUUUGAAAGUAACAAGUCACUUUAUUUGGGCUGGAGGAAAAAGCACUAAACCAGAUGUUGAGGUGACCGGGAUUCCUGGAAGACAUUCUUCUCUCCAACGAGACACAUGAUGCAUGAAGUAGGAGCCCCUGGCAAGGAGCCCAGGCUGCCAUGGCCUCGCUCGCUCCUGCUUCCCGGCAUGGCCCCGAGGCUAGCUGCCUCUGUACUGCCUGAGCAUCGUCCCCUGGCGUGUCACCAGACUACCCACUACCUGUGCUUGCACCUGCAGGUGGGCAGUUCAGUCGUUGCAGGCUGAAGCUCCCUGUCACAGGAGUCCAUCAGCACUGGAGUUUACCAAAUGGCCCAGUCCAGGAAGCAUGCUCAUGGCAAUACCCGGAGUCUCCACUGCAAGACCAGAGUGACGGAGGCAGCAGAGCUCCUCAGCAGGCCAGGAGUCUCCAGAGGCACUGCCGAAUGUCUAAGAAGCAACCUCAUUGUAUUCCCAAGACCUGGGAAUCCAGGUCUCGCAGAUACGAUGAUACAAUCUAUAGCCAGGACAUCUCUUCAUGUGUAGUUUUCAAUGAAUACUAGGAUAAGCAACUAUCCCAGUCUUCCCAGGAUUGAGGGGCUUCUCCAGAUGCUGCACUUCUGGUGCUAAAAAUGAGAAACUGAAAUGAAUUAGUCACCCAAGGAAUGCUGACCCUGUGCUAUAUGAUCACAUUUACUCUUUAAAGCAAUGCUUUGAGAACAAUUGAGCUGCAUAGUCCCUGCAAUCUUAUAAAGGCAUUUGGCCUGGAAGAUGCUCUGCAGCCAUGUGCCAAGAAUAACGGCUAUAGGGACAAUGUUUCAUUAACCCCAAAGCAGCAACCUGAACCUCUUACUGUACAAUAUCUGCUCCGUUCAGAAUUAGCUCGACUUGAGUCACAGGAUGAAGCUUACCAAAAGGAAUUUCCACGUCCAAGGAAGGAACCAAGAUCACUGAGAGGUUAUAGUAUGAAAAGUGAAGAGAAAAAACCUAUUCUAAACAUUUUAUUAAUUGUCAAUAAUUAUUUUAAAAUAUUUAAUAUAGUCUCCUACCUGGUCCACUGGCAUCAAGCUGCCAAAUUUACACGGUCACUUUGGGAAGCCAGCUGGCAGGCAAACAUGGAAAGUGCUGGCUCCUAGCGUAGUGAGAAGACCACAGAUAGAUGGUAAUUUUCUUCUUUGUUUUAUUUUUCUUUUUCUUCUCUCCCUCUUUUUCUUCCCUCUUGCCUUUCCCUCCCAUUGCCCACUUUCUUUUUUUGGCUGCCGAAGAUUUAUUGCCUUUCAGUACUUAUAGAUGAUGUUUUCAUAAGUUCUAAUGAGGUCCCAGCAGUUUUUAACAAUAACAGGACAUUACUGUUCCUAAGAUAUAUUAUGUGUUUUCCCUCAUCUUUCUCCCUUGAAUGAAAUGCUUAGAAGUAGGCUAACCCCCAAUUCCCUUCCCUUUACUAUGAUAAAUGGCUCCAUUACUUAAUAG